rnacentral:rRNA from 1 species
CCGAAACCCGGUGAUCUAGGCAUGACCAGGUUGAAGGUGCGGUAACACGCACUGGAGGUCCGAACCGAUUAACGUUGAAAAGUUACCGGAUGAGUUGUGUUUAGGGGUGAAAGGCCAAUCAAGCCGGGAAAUAGCUGGUUCUCCGCGAAAUCUAUUUAGGUAGAGCGUCGACCGAAUACCCUCGGGGGUAGAGCACUGGAUGGGCU